CAGGGGGAAGUUUUAUAUAUAUAUUUAUAUUUAAAGUGGAGACUACACAAUCUCUGAGGAAUUACUGCAGAGCUCCAGGGGGGGCCGAAGGAACAAGGGCUCCUUAGGAUGGCACGCCUAAGCUCCAGUUCUCUUUGAUGUAUUCCUGCUCCUCCAUAGCAAGUUCAAAAGCCAAAGAUGACUGCCAAAGGAAAACAACCAGCACAAGAAAUGUUCAUUGAUUAAUUCCUAGAUCAGAGCCACAUUUUAGAAUAUUCUAUGUUUUUCUAGCGAUGGAUUGGUCUUGUUUCCUUCACAUCAUACUAAAAACUUGCAAGUAUUUUGCCUUC